rnacentral:rRNA from 1 species
CCUACGGGAGGCAGCAGUCGAGAAUCAUUCACAAUGGGGGAAACCCUGAUGGUGCGACGCCGCGUGGGGGAAUGAAGGUCUUCGGAUUGUAAACCCCUGUCAUGUGGGAGCAAAUUAAAAAGAUAGUACCACAAGAGGAAGAGACGGCUAACUCUGUGCCAGCAGCCGCGGUAAUACAGAGGUCUCAAGCGUUGUUCGGAAUCACUGGGCGUAAGGCGUGCGUAGGCUGUUUCGUAAGUCGUGUGUGAAAGGCGCGGGCUCAACCCGCGGACGGCACAUGAUACUGCGAGACUAGAGUAAUGGAGGGGGAACCGGAAUUCUCGGUGUAGCAGUGAAAUGCGUAGAUAUCGAGAGGAACACUCGUGGCGAAGGCGGGUUCCUGGACAUUAACUGACGCUGAGGCACGAAGGCCAUGGGAGCGAAAGGGAUUAGAUACCCGUGUAGUC